rnacentral:tRNA from 1 species
GCGGAAAUAGCUCAGUUGGUUAGAGCGUCAGAUUGUGGUUCUGAAUGUCGCGGGUUCGAGUCCCGUUUUCCGCCCCA